CGCGUCUCGGUGCGAGGAGCCCGCGCCGGAGGCCCGGCGGCAUCGCGCUGCUUCCCACGUGCCGGGCUGCGGUUAGGCUGACGCUGAAGGAACGGGUUCUCUCCCGCGCCGCUCCGCUUCCCACCCGUACCUGGGCGCUCCCACCGUUGUACGUGGAAGGUUUGUUGCCGCUUUGGGUGCGUUUGGAAUGCUCGUGGCUGCCCCUCAGGAGGAGCGGAAGCCCCGGACCCGGUGGGGCAGCCAGCCUGUUGAUUUCCACUAUACGGUGAAGCCACCGGCGGCUCUGUGCCUGAUGCUGGAGGUGCCCGUUUUGCUGUUUCAUGCCUGUCGUGCCGUGGUGGCCGGCUGCGGCUUGCUGCUGGCAUGGGAGGGGGCCCUGAGCCCUCUGUCCCACCGCCGUGCUGCUGGGGCAUUGUGAGCUCUGCCCCUGGCUCUGGCUAGCACAGAGCCCUGCAGCAGGUACACUCUGCAAUUGGGUCAGAGGCACCCUGUUGGAAAAAGGAGGCCCAGCAUCUGGUGAGGAGCAUGAGGUGCUACCACCCACCCCAUGGCUCUGCUGAAGCCACCCCCAACUUGUGAGUGCUCCCUGGCAGCAGCAGGUGUGAAUUUCUCAUGGGUAAUGAUUAGAAGCUUGAGGAGGCAAAGCUAUCUUUCCCCAGUACAGAUAUAAAAGGGAGAGCAGAGCAAGGCCAAGAAGUGCUAUGUGCAGGCUUGGAGUAGAGGUGCCUGGGUAGGGGUGGCAGAACAAGAAGGGAAGCAGAGCCAUGUAUUCAGCUCAACCUGCGUUCCAAGUUUUUCUAAUAGCGGAACUUUCUUUGCCCAGUGGCUGCCGUAACUGACAGUGAGUGCCUGCCUGGUCCGUGCUGGAAGAACUGGAGCUAUCAGGCCCCCCAGCUGGGUCCCGAAGCCUCAUGCUGGGGGUCUGGUGCAGGUGGGCCCCAUGGCUGUGCCCAGAGUUAGCUCACAGUGACCUCAGCAUUGACGUGAGUGUGCAGCUGCUUCUCACUGGGGCAGUUACUUUGAGUAGUAAAUGAAUGCUUCUAAAGGCAAUUCAGUAGCAUGAACCUGCUAUUAAAUUCACUGUUGUUAAUUAAAGCUUUCUUCGGCAGGUUUGCAUGGUUUAUUUAAAGGUGUAAACAAGAACCUUACAUGUAAGGAAGGCGAAGGUUGAUGCUUUCGCUCUGGGAACCGCUGUUUUCCCCACGAGAACGUCCCUCAUAGCCUGUUUCUUUUCUGUUUGAAAUGUUGUGGUCUCCUGUGGAUGGUGAAGUUAUUUGCUGUUCUGAGGCUUUCCUCAUCACUAGGCUGGCUGCACACCAGAGCACUCUGAUGUUCUCCAGGGCCCUGCUGUACUUGUGCUGCCCCGGUUUCUUUUCCUGCCCGACAAGAUGAAACUGCCUGUAGUGUGUACAGCAAAUACAGCAGAGCCAUAGGAAUGGGAUGGAGUUGGAUUAUCAGAAUUAGAUCUGGACCAAAAGCAAAUCCCUGUUAGUGGAACAGGGAUUAUUGUGCCAAGGCUGUCAUGAGCCAGUUCCAUCCGUCCAUGUCCACAAACCUUUCAACAGCUGCUUCCUACCAGAGGCACACUGGAAAACAGCGGGCUGACAUUUUCCCUUCAGUCAUCUUUGCCACCUGGAAGAAAAACAGCAGCAAAGGAGUGUCCGGUGGUUCAGCUAUGCUUGGCUUUAUUUAUGGCAUCUAUUUAGAGCAAUAGAUGAUUAAAGUUUCAUUGGGCUGAUAAAAACGAUAAUGCAUCUUUGCUGUAAAUCGGCUUUGUGGACAGACAGGGACUUGUUUGAUUGUGGGGAGCUUGUAUUAGGGGGCUGGAUAUCUGCAGUCAACACAAAUUAUGAUUUCCCCUUUCUCUCUUCUAGUAGUUCUGCUUCCAUUCAGGGUUUCUGAGCGCUGGGAGGAUCUCAUCCUGUUGGCUGUGGGUGGUGGGUCCCCAGAGCCCAUUCCCACACUGCUGCUCACAGCUGGAGCAGCUGCACAGCCCUGUGAGAUGGAGCCUGGUGGGAUGUGCCACCUCUGCCUGCAGCCCAGAUUAGGGGCAGGGGAUUAAAGGCCAGGAGGUUGGUGGAUGUGCUGUUCUUAAUGUGUUUUUAUGCAUGUUUAAACCAUUUGCUUCUUAACUGUGUAUUUGCAGCCAGUCACAAUUGCUGCUGCUUUAUUGCACUGUUCAAGCAAGAACAAAUCUGCUUGUACCAAUGGCAGCAGGAAGCAGAAGGAGCACUGGGAGCACGCUGCUGGUGCUGGUUUGGGAGCACAGGCUGCAACCUGCAGGCAGCCCUUGGUGCACACAGGAUCCAGCACCCAGGUCUUUCCCAGAGCCAUGCCAGUGGUGCUGGGAAGGGGCAGUGAGAAAUCAGUCCUUGCUUGAAGUCCAGAGCUCCUUGGCACUCAGGGUGCUCUUUCCUUCAGCCCUGUCUGGAGUGGAAUGGCCAACCCUGUGUGGAGUGGCUGUUCCCUGGACACUGCUCACUGCUUUAGCACCACAUUGGUAUGUUUGAGCUGGUAGGGUGCUGGCCCUUGUGCCUGCAGGGACAGGAAAUCCCCUGUCAGAAGGGCAUGCACAUGUGUAAUGAGAGCAGAUUAUUUCUGUUCUCCCUUAUUUUGCUGCCUUGAGGCAGGUGGACGGAUUAUAGAGGAUAGAGAAUAUAUGUCUGUCAGUCCUUCCCUGUCUUUCUCAUCACCCCUCCCUUCUGAUGACCCCAUUUUUAGAGGGAUAAAGCAAGCAGCCCAUCCCCCUUUCUCAAAUCUGUUGUGAAGUCUGAUUAGAGAAAUCAGAGGUUUGUGGUGGGCAUGCAGCACGUCUGGUGCUGCCAGGGUGCAGGGCUGCUCUGCCUUUGUGCUGCCGAUGGCUGGUGCCAGCAUUGUGUCACUUCGAUGCUCCCUGUGUCCCUGAAGAAGCAGAAAAAGCUGUUUUUUAUUUUUCUCUGCAGCAGGGGUUGCUUUCUCCUCAGUUUGUAACUUUCCAGGGUCAGCUCAUCAUAUCCUGUUAUUUUGGAGAGCAUUCAGUCUGGGUGCCUUGUGGUGGUGCAUGGUUCCCGUCCCCUGGGUCUGUCCCAGUGCUGUAGGGAAGGUGAAAGUGAGAUCGAGGGGCUGCAGCACAGGAAGCACCUCCUGAUGCUGAUUGCUUAUGGUGAAAGAUGAUUCCAAGCCUUCUGACUUCUGCAUGGGGAGGAAGAGGCACGUGUGGCUUGGCUGAGGCUCAGCACAAAUGUCAGCAUUGCGAAAGGUGUCCUGGAGCUGCAGGGCAGGGGCAGACUUGUGGAAGUGCAGACUUUUGUUGCUGGUGAAUUUUCAAGCCAUUCCCAUUUGUGUCCGGAAGAAAAAGAGAUUUGAGCAAAUCUCUUGGGCGUGCUGCUGCACUCCUGAGAUGGCUUUUCUGGAAAUUCAAGUGUAAAUUACAUCCUCCGACUCUUGAAAGCUUAUCCGGAGUAGUGCCAGUUGUCUUACUGCAUGCAGUCUG